rnacentral:rRNA from 1 species
UGGGGAAUAUUGCACAAUGGGCGCAAGCCUGAUGCAGCCAUGCCGCGUGUAUGAAGAAGGCCUUCGGGUUGUAAAGUACUUUCAGCGGGGAGGAAGGGAGUAAAGUUAAUACCUUUGCUCAUUGACGUUACCCGCAGAAGAAGCACCGGCUAACUCCGUGCCAGCAGCCGCGGUAAUACGGAGGGGGCAAGCGUUAAUCGGAAUUACUGGGCGUAAAGCGCACGCAGGCGGUUUGUUAAGUCAGAUGUGAAAUCCCCGGGCUCAACCUGGGAACUGCAUCUGAUACUGGCAUGCUUGAGUCUCGUAGAGGGGGGUAGAAUUCCAGGUGUAGCGGUGAAAUGCGUAGAGAUCUGGAGGAAUACCGGUGGCGAAGGCGGCCCCCUGGACGAAGACUGACGCUCAGGUGCGAAAGCGUGGGAGCAAACA